rnacentral:rRNA from 1 species
UACGGAGGGUGCAAGCGUUAAUCGGAAUUACUGGGCGUAAAGGGUACGCAGGCGGUUUUUUAAGUCAGAUGUGAAAGCCCCGGGCUUAACCUGGGAAUUGCAUUUGAAACUGGCAGUCUAGAGUGUAGUAGAGGGGAGUAGAAUUCCAUGUGUAGCGGUGAAAUGCGUAGAGAUGUGGAGGAAUACCGAUGGCGAAGGCGGCCCCCUGGGCCAAUACUGACGCUCAUGGGCGAAAGCGUGGGGAGCAAACAGG